GGGGGGUAGAGCUGGGGGGGUUGUUAUAGGAAACUCCCUGUAAUCAAACGAGCACAACUCGUUGAAUAGACGUGUUUUGCCUGAUUUUUCUGCACCAGUGCACGGUGUACCCUCUCAAUCAUCAGACACCUAAUUACCUUUGUUUUAGAGACUGUUCUCUCUCCUAUACUUGCCUAUUUUAGAUCUACUUCAUUUGUUUAGUUUCCUUUUGAGGGUUCCCCUGUUUAUCCACUGUGUCUCAUUUCCUCUGUCACUCUUUACUCCUUUUCAGGUAUUUUGUGCAUUGCUUUUUUCUAAGCCUGUCCUUCACGUCUCUCUUUCUCAGCAGUAUCUGACUUGUGAAGACCCUAGGUUGCUCAAUCUUUCAAAAAGGUUUUGAAACGAUUUUUCCUCUCGUCCACGUUUUUCCCUGGCACGCUUCCAGCUCCCAUUAUUUCUUUCCAUGGCUUUAUCCCGUCUUCUUUGAUCCCCCUGUCACUUCUUCCAAAGGGUUGGGUUUCACAGACACCAUUAAAAAAAAAAUCCCUCGCCUCGGCGGAGAAACGUUUGUUUAUACUGUUGCUCUGCUUUGCAAAGUAAUGCUUCGGAUGUUAUCUUCUCCAUCUGGCUUUUGUUUGGUAUGGUUCUUUCUUCUGCUCUCCAGUGAUAUCCAGGCUGGCUCUUUUCUGAUUAUGACUUAACGCUGCAUGGGAGCAGGUCCCCCCCCCACACCCCCCACUGGGUCAAGCACUAAAGUGGAUGAAGAGGACAGGAGGGUGUUCAACAGGACAGGACCUGAAGCACUUUCUGCCCACCUCUGGGGUGGGUCUCUGCUAAUCGCUCGUUUCCCCCCUCCCACCGAGAAAGACUACGUUUCACACGUGUGCGCGCAUGUGCAUGUGCGCAUGCGUAUUUACCUCCGGAGGUGACUUUCCCGUGGCUUUCGGGUCCGAUGGUGAUCGCCGCCUCUCCACCUUUCGGUACCGACGACUACCUUUCCACGAAGGUGGUCAGACAGGGAGUGAUACUGACCAAGGCUGAAGAGGAUGCUGAGACCCGAGGUGUCUUCAAAACAUCCACAGGCUUCAAGGACCUGGGCCAUGUCUCGAGGAGACAAGGACAAAGCAGGGGUGUAGCCACCAGCUUGCCCUGCUCCCAGGUGGGUGGCAGAGAAGAGCAGACGAGGUUACUGAUGCAGGGGCCUGGGGGCCAGGCAAAGGGUGCCGAGGGGAUGCAAGAGCUUGGGAGAACAGGGCCCCCAUUGGCCGGUGGAGCGGCUGGGUGCCUGACUCAUUCCUCCCGGCUGGACAGGCUGGCCUUGACCUUCCUUCCUGCUCUUUCCACUCGCUUUCCCCAUUUAACUCACUGGUUCUUCAACCAAACCUGGUGCCUGGGCGGCUCCGAUCGUCCCUCCAUCUCUUUGAGGGUGUGGCGCUUGCCUCCUGUGUUCCAGAGACACCAAGUCCCCCUGUGACGCAUGAGGGAUUCACUGGAGACCAGAGGGCUGAUGGGGUGGCUGCACCUUGACUCCUAGAGCCUGGGAAGUCCCACAAUCAGACAUCAGAACAGGUGCCACAGUGUGGUACACCCAUCCUCAAGUAUCUGCGCUGCUGCAACGGGCAAUGAAAAAGGCUUGAAAUGUGAUGGAAAGAGUCUCUGGUUUCCUCCACCUCAGCUCCCAGCUGCCCCUGUGCAUCUAUUUUUAGUGCAUCUAAUUUUGCAGGGAUCAAAGGCGGAUUGAAACCCUCAACAGGGAUGCAAAGAGGCCUAAGGUGAAGAAGGAGGAAAAGAGAGAGAAGGCUCACCGCCGCCGGGCUCAGGAGAGGGAAGGGGGAAGGCAGAGGGGAGGGAAGAGGAAGAAG
rnacentral:lncRNA from 1 species